CUGUCUCCUCUCUCUAAUCAGUGAAACUGAUCUUCCCGUGAAGAAGCGGGAAUAAAACCAUAAGACGAGAAGACCCCAUGGAGCUUUAAACCUCAAAGCAACUCUGACACAUAAUUCACCACAACCAACAGAGCUGUGCAAGUCGGUUUUAGGUUGGGGCGACCGCGGAGUAAAAAUUAACCUCCACGACGAAAAGAACUAGAUCUUUAUCUAAGAGCUACCCCUCUAAGAAUUAGUAAACUAACGAAAAAUGACCCGAUUAUCGAUCAACGGACCAAGUUACCCUGGGGAUAACAGCGCAAUCUACUUCAAGAGCCCAUAUCGACAAGUAGGCUUACGACCUCGAUGUUGGAUCAGGGUAUCCCAGUGGUGCAGCCGCUACUAAAGGUUCGUUUGUUCAACGAUUAAAACCCUACGUGAU
rnacentral:rRNA from 1 species